GCCCUGGUAGCUCAGUUUGGAUAGAGCAAGACCCUUCUAAGGUCGAGGUCACAGGUUCGACUCCUGUCCAGGGCACCA
rnacentral:tRNA from 1 species